rnacentral:rRNA from 1 species
GAUGAACGCUAGCGGCAGGCUUAACACAUGCAAGUCGAGGGGUAACAGGGAAGAGCUUGCUUUUCUGCUGACGACCGGCGCACGGGUGCGUAACGCGUAUAGAACCUACCUUUUACAGGGGAAUAGCCCAGAGAAAUUUGGAUUAAUGCCCCAUAGUAUUAUUGAAUGGCAUCAUUUAAUAAUUAAACAUUUAUGGGUAAAAGAUGGCUAUGCGUUCUAUUAGCUAGAUGGUAAGGUAACGGCUUACCAUGGCAACGAUAGAUAGGGGUCCUGAGAGGGAGAUCCCCCACACUGGUACUGAGACACGGACCAGACUCCUACGGGAGGCAGCAGUGAGGAAUAUUGGACAAUGGAGGCAACUCUGAUCCAGCCAUGCCGCGUGCAGGAAGACGGUCCUAUGGAUUGUAAACUGCUUUUAUAUAGGAAGAAACCUUUCCACGUGUGGAAAGCUGACGGUACUAUAAGAAUAAGCACCGGCUAACUCCGUGCCAGCAGCCGCGGUAAUACGGAGGGUGCAAGCGUUAUCCGGAAUCAUUGGGUUUAAAGGGUCCGUAGGCGGACUAAUAAGUCAGGGGUGAAAUCCAACAGCUUAACUGUUGAACUGCCUUUGAUACUGUUAGUCUUGAGUUAUAUGGAAGUAGAUAGAAUAUGUAGUGUAGCGGUGAAAUGCUUAGAGAUUACAUAGAAUACCGAUUGCGAAGGCAGUCUACUACGUAUAUACUGACGCU